AUUGAACGCUGGCGGCAUGCCUUACACAUGCAAGUCGAACGGUAACGCGGGGCAACCUGGCGACGAGUGGCGAACGGGUGAGUAAUGCAUCGGAACGUGCCCAGUAGUGGGGGAUAGCCCGGCGAAAGCCGGAUUAAUACCGCAUACGACCUACGGGUGAAAGCGGGGGACCGUAAGGCCUCGCGCUAUUGGAGCGGCCGGUGUCAGAUUAGGUUGUUGGUGGGGUAAAGGCCUACCAAGCCGACGAUCUGUAGCUGGUCUGCGAGGACGACCAGCCAAACUGGGAAUGAGAGACGGCCCAGAGUCCUACGGGAGGCAGCAGUGGGGAAUUUUGGACAAUGGGGGCAACCCUGAUCCAGCCAUGCCGCGUGCGGGAAGAAGGCCUUCGGGUUGUAAACCGCUUUUGUCAGGGAAGAAACGCUCUGGGCUAAUACCCUGGGGUAAUGACGGUACCUGAAGAAUAAGCACCGGCUAACUACGUGCCAGCCGCCGCGGUAA
rnacentral:rRNA from 1 species